ACCUUGCUCAUACUAUCAGACUCAAGUAUGUUAUUCCAGUCUACAAGGAUCUAAUCUGUCCGAAACGACGUCCGAGACAAUGCAAAGCAACAAAGUUUGAGAGUCUAAGGCAACACUGGUCUAUCCUAGGCUAAGGUUGGACAUGCAUCAGAAAGCAAGUUCAAGUAAUUCACAUAGCAUGCACAAACCCAAACCACCCAACUAGCAAGGCCAUGUGUGGUGAGUUGUUGAAUAAUGCCUUGUGUGCGCUUUUGUCACCUAGAACUUGCCCGGUUGGUCUUGAUUGAGUUUUGUUGGAAAAAUGAUCUUAGGCUUUUUUUAUGUUCUUGAAGUCCACUUGGCCUAAGAAUCCCACCUUUGCCUAAUAUAUCCUUAGUUGUCCCCUUUGAGCCUAAAGUAAGUCCUUUUUGAAAAAGUAACCCUCUUUUGAACCCUUCCCUCCUUGAACUUGAGGUUGCGAAAGUUGAGGCUAAAAGCUUAAGUUGGGGGUGUUAUGAAAAACUCAUUAAGUUGGGGGUGUUAUGGAAAAUUCAUUGAAGGGAUGCUUACCUCAUGUGGGCUUGAUAUAAAAAAAAAAGGAAAAAAAAUGAAGAGAGAAAUUAAGGGAUGUAUGGAAAGAGUCUUAAAGAAAGAAAACCUUUGAAAAAGAAAGAAAGAAAAUGAAUAAAUGAGACUUGAAUCCUCCAAAAGUUGAAAAAAUGGUUGCAUGUGGGGCGUCUAGAGUGGAAAUAUGAAAGAAAAAUGAGAAAUAGUGUGGAAUGCAUGGGUUUGAAAAGUGAAGAAAGUAUUAUGAGUUGUUGUAUAAUGUUCAAGGAGGGUGUAGUCACUUCUACCUAAAUGAUAUCCUAACCUUCCCUAAGCCUAUAUUACAAGCUUAACAAAGUCCUUUGAGAUUUCUAACCAAAUGGAGUUGAGUCAAUGUUGAUUGAAGAUAUGGACAAGUCUAUGGUGUGACGUUUGUGUGCAUGAGAUGAUUCUUUGUGAGUGUGAGUCUUGCAUCUUUGUCCCUUGUCUUAUUUAUAUGUGUGUGUGGUUUUGGGACACUUCUUUCUUUUGAGGGCAUGUUAGUUGACAAAGUGGUGAUUUUGAAAAUUCCUAAUUGAGUCAAGUGAGCAUGUGAAAUAUUUCUUCACGAAAACCAGAAAAAAAAUCGUGUCUCCUUUCUCCUUCCAGUACAGUGAACCCAUGCGACUAAACGAUCACGUCAACAUCAGUAGCAGCUCCAAACACCAACAGUGUCCACUGUCCUCCUUUUCUGCAGCAGUCGCGUCCCCAUCCCCCUUUUCCCCUUUUUCAGAAAUUGCCCAUCCCUUUCACUGUUUCCUUGUAAAAGAGCAUAUGAAUUCAAAAUUCCAUCCCCCUAAAUCGCCCCAAUUUUCCCCAGAAAUAGUUCUCUAUGCUCAAGUGAUUUGGGGGCAUGUUUUUUAAGUUGGAUUUUGAGGGUAAGAAUUUACAGAGAAAAAGAAUUGCAAAGCUAUAAAAGACAUAAGAAAUACCUAUUAGUUAGAUAUAUUUUCUCCUUCUUGUUCGUGGGUUGCGGGGGAUUCGACGAAUUUCUCGAAAAUCUUGCUGUGGUGGUGAUAUCGCUCGUCUUAGCUCGUCGCUGUCCCAGAACGCUGCAUUUCAAAAGGUAAUAUUUGUUUCUGUUCGUGUCUUUGGUUUCCUGAUGUGCUUGCCGUUUUAUUCUACUGUAUGAGGCGUUUAAAUGUUAGAAUGUUGAAUUUGUUUCGACUUACUGUUGAUUGCAAAGCAUUGAUAUAAGCUCCUUUGUCGGUUCGAGUGUCUUUUUUUUGGGUUGUUUUGCUCGAAGUCUUAAUGUUUUCCGUAUGGCGCUGAGUUGGUUUUCUUCCUUUUCUUCUUGUUUCACUGUUGUUUUGUUUGGUUGACUACGAAGUUAUGAGUCAGUCAUGUAGUUCGGAAUCAUCUUCUAUAGGUGAUUUCGUUUGCUUUAUUCGAUAUAUGAAGGUUGUCUUCAUUCUCUUGUUACUUCAAAUAGGGUAAUCGCAUGAGUUGAAUGCUUUACUGCCUCACCCUAUGUUCUUAAGGUUAGAUGUUGGAAUCUAUAUUAGUUGUUAGCUUUCUAAAUUUUACCGAGUUUUGCUUGUAUGUUUCACCUUGAAUCAUGCUAAAAGAAGAAGAUUUCUUGUCUAUAUCCGAGUUGGUCUCGACUGCCCCCUCCUUUUUUCCCCUUUCUUCACAGUGGCUUGGGGUAUAUUGUCCCAUUAUCUGACAUGCCUUGUUUUGAUCGAAUCUGUGUCUCCUUUUUUCCUAUUUUAGUCAGAAAUUGCUUGUUAUUCGUAUUUGAUUAAUUCAAAGAGAUGAGACUAUAGCCUUCCUGGUCUUAGCUUAUCUUAGUUUGCAUUUUCCUUUAGCUGGAUUGCCUAUUUCCUCUAAUUUCCCUUGUCUUCUCUCCCUCUGUUAAGCUUAUUAUUUUGAUGAUAAGCUAUGUGCAAUUGAUGAAACAUAAUGCAAUUUGGACCUUUCCAGUUAGUUAUUUUGCUCCCUGCCAUUGAUCCUAACCUGUGAUGUCAAUUGUGUUUCUUUCUUUUGUAUGAUCUCAAGUUAUAUAAUGUGUAUGCUUCACAUGUUGUGACAAGAAUAUAAAUGGUUAAAUUACUACAUGUUGUUUGAUUGUCUGGUUUUCUUUAAGGCAUUAGAAGUGAGUUGAUUGGGGAUAGUUACAUGUUCUUAUUCUUGCCCAUCAUUUGAAUCUUAAGGACAUUGCGAUUAUUUAGAAAAUGCUUCAUCUUUUGCUUCAUUAUUCUGCUAUAAGCUUCUAUGUCAUUCUAGUUUAGUUUCUGGAAUUAAGAGCUUAGCAAGGUGUAGCUUAAUAUGUAAUGUUAUAAGGAUAGUUGGCUCUAUAUAAAUCUAUUACUUUGUUGGUUCAUUUGUGAAGUUCGCUAGUUUUAAUAGUAUAGGUAUAAAUCUGAGUUUCAUCUUUGAUCAAUUUUAUUUAUUUAUUUGUGUCCAGAUUUUAAUUUAGGAUUGAGUUUUCUUUUCAAGUUGCUAAUUCUUUUUUUUUUUUUGCGAGCUUACCACUACGAAGUCCACUGGUUCUUGCAUAUCUGUUGGGCCUUGAAGACCCAAUUUUAUCUUUUCUCGAGUCAGCCCAUAUUGUUUUGUCGAAAAGAUGCUGAUGAACGGGUCCUCGGAGGCUAAAUACAGGGCUAGAAGUUGAAUUCCGAGUGUACGGAAGUCCAAAAGUGGACUGUAUAUGGUUUUAUACACUGAUAUACAACUGGUGUAUACAAAAACGAAAUUGGGUUAAACCCCGAAAGCAGCAGCAAAUUUGGCCCAAGAAAGGUCCAAAUUCAAUUUCUCAUUUACUCUUAAAUAUUUAAUUGUCAUUAUUUAUUGUUUGUUCUUUUUUCUUUAUUUAUUAUUAUUAACUCGAACUUUGGAAUUGUUAAUUAACUUAGUUGAAUUCCCCUAAAGAUGAACUA